CAAUAAAAGAAGCACGGUAAUGUGCACAUAAAUUGAAUUGGGUCUCGAGGCUUGUCUUCUCUAAUGCCAUUUGGCUUUGAUUUGGGGACAUGCUUCCGUAGCAAAACA